rnacentral:misc_RNA from 1 species
GAAAUGCGAUAAGUAAUGUGAAUUGCAGAAUUCAGUGAAUCAUCGAAUCUUUGAACGCACCUUGCGCUCCUUGGUAUUCCUUGGAGCAUGCCUGUUUGAGUAUCAUGAAAUCUUCAAAGUAAAUCUUUUGUUAACUCAAUUGGUUUCUACUUUGGUAUUGGAGGUCUUUGCAGCUUCACACCUGCUCCUCUUUGUUUAUUAGCUGGAUCUCAGUGUUAUGCUUGGUUCCACUCGGCGUGAUAAGUUAUCUAUCGCUGAGGACACUGUAAAAGGUGGCCAAGGUAAAUGCAGAUGAACCGCUUCUAAUAGUCCAUUGACUUGGACAAUACUUUUAUGAUCUGAUCUCAAAUCAGGUAGGACUACCCGCUGAACUUAAGC